GUAAACUCAAAAAUCUUCAAACGCUCGAUCUCUCGGACGGCCUCCGGCUCACAGGGUCCAUACCGGCGUUUCUCGGCGGCCUUCAAAACCUGGAGUAUCUCGACUUGAGUGGUACCAAGUUUUCUGGUUCCAUUCCUCCAUCUCUCGGCAACCUCCCCAAGCUGCGUUUCCUGGACAUUUCCAACACGCUCGUCAGCAGCAGUAUACCUGUUAAGAUUGGAAAGCUUACCAGCUUGGAAACGCUGAGAAUCUCCGGCACCAAAGCCGCUGGACGAAUCCCCGACACGCUUGGGAACCUGAAGAAGCUCAAAGUGUUGGAGCUGUCUCAAAAUGCAGGUAUGCGUGGUCCCAUCCCCAGCUCCUUCGGCCAGCUCUCUUCCCUGGAAGAGCUUUCGGUCUCCAGCACUGGGCUUACGGGACAAAUACCGAGCUCUCUCGGCCAACUUAGCAGACUUGUCAAACUCGACGUUAUGUCCAACUCAUUGAGCGGCAGCAUUCCUGAAUCUCUGGGACUUCUUUCCAGUCUUGAAGUCUUUUGGGCCUCCGAAAACCUGCUGACCGGUCGAGUUCCAGAAGGAUUUGCUCGAGGCCUCAAGAAUCUCACAGUCCUCGAGCUUUCGAUGAACAACCUCACUGGACUUCCCACCAACAUGGCCAAGCUCGUCAACUUGAACGGUGUCUACUUGGACAACAACGAUAUCAGAAGCUUUGACGCGAUCUCUGGACUGGCAACACUCCCGGAGCUCUCAACCAUCUCUCUCAGUCGCUGCAAACUCCAAGGACCGAUACCUUCCUGGUUUGCAAACAUCAACCUCAAGCAACAGCCCCUGGGAUCUUCGUGUCUCAUCGACCUCUCCUUCAACUCCAUCACCGGAACUAUACCCGCUGCUCUCGGAAGGAACUCCAACCUCACAAAUCUCUUCCUCCAAUUCAACAAGCUCCAAGGAAAACUCCCAGACAGCUUUGGAGAAACUCUCCCCAGGCUGACUAACUCGGACUUUAGCUCCAACUUUCUCACCGGAGUACCAGCGGACCUGUCCAACUUGGGAAAAGGAGUGCUCUACUCGCUUGGACUGGGUCACAACAAUCUCAGCUUUCAGGCUCUCGAGGGACUGACCACACUCUCCCAAGUCUCCUUCCUCACUCUCGACCAUUCCCACCUCACAGGAGCCAUCCCGAGCUGGUUCUCCAAGAUCCCAAUGACCCAAGACGAAAUCGACAGCGUCGCAGUACUGAGGCUGAGCUCCAACAGCAUCACUGGAAGGAUCCCACCGGAAAUCGCCCAGCUGACCCAAGUCACGGGCCUCUAUCUGGACAGGAACCGCUUGAGCGGCGGCAUUCCAGUGGAGUUCCUGGCGCUCAAGAACCUGCACUACUUGAAUGUCUCCCACAACCAGCUCACUGGCGCCAUACCCGAUGGAGCGCCGCUCAGCACCAUGGAUCCGGAGAACUUCGCCGGCAAUCCGGGGCUCUGCGGCAAGCCGCUCUCGCCAUGCAUCAAGCCCUAAAUGCGUGGAAUAUCCUCAAAUUUGAAAUUUUAGGGCAAACAUGCUCUCCAAAUUAGCCAGUCAACCAGGAAAAAAAAAAUAAAAAAAAUAAAAAAAUUCAACCAGGGAGAUGGUACUUCUAACUCUUCCCAAUUAACCAAUGUGUCACCAACCUGACAGCUCAACCAAGAAAGUGUAGAAGCAUUGGACAGGGCUUCAUCAACCCCCUAGCAUUGAUCUUGUAUGCAUGCAGCUGCAAAAGGUGGCACAACUUAUAGAAGCCUCAGGGAAAGAGUCCCAGCAUGGAAAAGAAGUGAUGCCAGCAUCAAACUCUCACUUUGACAAUUAUAGAACUCUUGGAGCCACUUGAUUUCCCCAGCCGGCCACAAGAAACCCCGUGGUGAAGGCAUUAAGGGGCUAGAGCACACUGUAGCCCCAAAUGCCGCACAAGGGGAUUCCCCAAACACGAAGAAAACAAUGCCAGCAGCUCUCACACGUGAUGACUCAACUCAAGGCACUUGCACAGGAUGUUGAAAGUCUCAAGCCAACUCCGCUCACACUGGCAACUCACAAUGCAACUUUUAAAUAGACUUCUAAAGAUCACUGUUAAAUGUCAAUAAACACCGAUGUGUCACAAACAAUAACUAAUAUACUUAUCCCUUUUGAUCCUUUCAUGUAUGAAAUAGAGCAAAGCAUUUGUUAUGGCAUGGUUUAAGAUCAUUUGCAAGUAUCCCAUGUUGUCAUUGUAAGCUGUCAUUAGUCCAUGGAUCUCAAAACCAAUGUCCCAAUAAAAUCUUCACAUUCACAAUAAUUCCUUGACUGCCUCAGUGACAACAUGGUACUUAACCUCACAAAUGGAAAGUCCACUUGACUUGUGCAAUUGCGUCCGUAUAACGCAAUCAUGUUUUCCACUCUCAUGGCCAUUUCUGUUCCCGUCCAUCCAUUGGUCGGUUUUCCACACCCCAACUCCAAUUGCCCGAUCCCAAAUCUCUCCCCAGGCAUCAUUAGAAAAGAUCUUCUACACCACUUAUCACAUACCUCCAAACUUUAUACCACGAGUUUUAUUGUUUCCUGACCUUGGGCAGCCUGGUAAUGAAGCUCUAUGCCAAGAACAAACAAUGUAUACAAUCACCCAAUAAUACAGCUUGGGCAUGACUAACAGUUAACAAAGGUAAAUACGGAAAAAUUCUUUGUGUUUACUUGCCAGACCGUGCCAAAACGUUAUCAGGCGGGCACUCAUUCAAAACGGUGGAUAAUCGUAAAGUUCUCUCCUUGUGGAUAGCUUUAGAGUUUCCCAAAAGUAGGGUGAGCCAGCUGACAACCGUUUACUUUGUACUUUUGUUUGCAGACAAACACUACGUAUCCUUCACGAAAAUAUGAUACAAAACUGAAGUUCUUACUACGUUUUCAAGAAAAUUUCGGAUGCAACGUAAGGGCCAGAACUGGAAACCUGUUGAUCAUCGAUGACUGUUUUAGCAGCCUGUGAGCCUUGAACAGGAUCACCGCUAGCAUUACAAGCCCCGAGAAGGAUCGUCCACGCAAAACUAUCAGCCUUGUAAGGCAUACUCUCAACAAGCACCCGAGCAUUCCUAGAGUCUCCAGAUCGCCCAACAGUGUCGAUCAUACAUCGGUAGUGUUCCAGCUCCACGCAAACUCCAUGAUCCGCCACCAUCGACAGAAAAACGCUUCUACUCGUUGCCAGCGACCCAGAGUGACUGCAAGUGCCGAGAACAAUGCUAAAAGUCACUUGAUCCGGAUCAAAGCCCUCCAGGAUCAUAAAAGGCAGUAAAACGGUCCCAUGCCCAACCUGGGCAUAACAUUGGAUCAUCGCAUUCCAAGUUACCAGGUUCCGUACGGGUGCCGAGUCAAAGAGUUCCUUCGCAACUGCGUGACCCUUGUUCUGCCCGUACACCUGGAUCAAGUAAGUCCAAGCUACCACGUCGCGAUUUGGCAUGGAGUCAAACACCCACUUUGCCUCGCCAUAGUAACCAUUCUGCGCAUAUACCUGUACCAUGGUAGUCCAAGCGACCCUGUCUCGGCUUGUCAUUCUGUGAAAGAAUCUCACGGCCUCGUCUACGUAGCCAAGCAAAGAAUAUGCCUGGAUCAUAAUGGUCCACGAGAUUUCGUCACGAUCGACUAUGGAAUCAAACACCUGUCUCGCAUGCUCAAUCUGCCCACAUUGGGCAUAUGCUGCUACCAUGGUAUUCCACGUCACAAGGUUUUUAACCGGCGCCAUGUCAAAAGUGUAUCUUGCUUUUGGUAAAUUUCCGUUUUGUGCAUAGCCCGCCACCAUGGUAGUCCAUGUUACAACGUUCCUUUGAGGUAUCAUUUUGAAGAGAGUCUCAGCUUCUUCCAUAUGCCCUGAUUGGGCAUACGCAGUUAUUACAACGUUCCAAGACACUGCGUUCCGCUGUGGCAUUCUUUCAAACAUUAGCCUGGCCAUAUCUAAGAAACCACUCUCGGAAUAUGCCUUGACCAUGGUUGUCCACGUUACCACGUCCCGCUGGACCAUACCAUCAAAGACACGCUUCGUAUAAAAAAGAUGCCCAUUUGCGGCAUAUGCUGCAAGAAGGAUGUUCCAGGAGUGGAGAUUCGGCGCAUAGAUGGAAUCGAAGACGGCCUUGGCGUCAUGGAGGCUGCCACAUUUUGCGUACAUGUCGACAAGAUGGUUUUUAAGGAAAAGGCUAGUUGACGAGCGCGAACUCUUGAGAAUGGCGAGAUGGGCGCGCUUGGCCUGUGACAGAUCGGUGGCAGAUCGAGCGAGGGCAGCCAACUCCGCGUCGGAGAAGUACCCCAUUCCCGGGCUUGCCGCGCCAUCGCCACUUUAAGACAUGAAAAGGAAGAACCCUAAAUUAACGGCUUGUGUCCCAGAGCCAUGACAUCAAAAGAUUUGCGUCGCCUGAGAGAUUCGAACUCUCGCGGGGAAACCCCAUGUACUUAGCAGGCACACGCCUUAACCACUCGGCCAAAGCGACAAUACGCUUGAGUAGACCACUAAAAAAAUACAAGUACUUUCAUCAUGAACGAAGUCCAAAACGGUGGCUGACACCGACAGCAAUUAAGAACUCCCCAUCUCUGUAGAUAAGAUCAGUACAAAGAAGUACCUACGAAACAACAAGCGACUUUACCUCGCCACUGUUCCAUGGUUUUAGUCGCAAUGUCUAGAACAAGCACGUCUUUCCUCGUUGUUUUGACAGUUUCACUGCUCGCCCACCACACCACCGCGGCGUCCUGCAACAGUGAAGAUGAAAAGGCACUGCUGGCUUUCAAGGACGCCGACCAAGAUCGAAGCAAGCUACUUACCACUUGGAGCCGGCAAUCCAGUUGCUGCGAAUGGUCUGGUAUCAAAUGCGAUGGAGCUAGCGGCCGGGUGAGCGAGCUCAAGCUGGAGUCCCUGGGAUUAACAGGUACGCUGUCUCCGGAGCUGGGAAGCCUCUCCCACCUCCGUACGCUCAACGUCCACGGCAAUAGCAUGGACGGUUCGAUACCUUCCACCUUCGGUAAGCUACUUCGGCUGGAGGUUCUCGACUUGGGCAGCAACUUCUUCUCCGGAGCACUGCCAGCGUCGCUUGCUCAGCUCGCAUCCACGCUGCGAACGCUGGAUCUGUCAGGUUACAGAUUCGAAGGACCGUUUCCAUCGGUUAUUGGAAAACUUACCAGCUUGAGGAAGCUCAUCCUGGAAAGAGCUGAUGCGUCUGCCGGCAGCAUUCCUUCGUUCCUCGCCAACCUCAAGAAUCUCACUGUCUUAAAUCUCCAAGGAAGCUGGUUCACGGGCUCCAUUCCUUCGUCCUUGAGUAAACUGAAAAAUCUUCAAACGCUCGAUCUCUCGGACGGCUUCCGGCUCACAGGGUCCAUACCGGCGUUUCUAGGCAGCCUUCAAAACCUGGAGUAUCUCGACUUGAGUGGUACCAAGUUUUCUGGUUCCAUUCCUCCAUCUCUCGGCAACCUCCCCAAGCUGCGUUUCCUGGACAUUUCCAACACGCUCGUCAGCAGUAGUAUACCUGUUGAGCUUGGAAAGCUUACCAGCUUGGAAACGCUGAGAAUCUCAGGCACCAAAGCCGCAGGACGAAUCCCCGACACGCUUGGAAACCUGAAGAAGCUAAAAGUGUUGGAGCUGUCUCAAAACGCAGGUAUGCGUGGUCCCAUUCCCAGCUCCUUCGGCCAGCUCUCUUCCCUGA
rnacentral:lncRNA from 1 species